rnacentral:rRNA from 1 species
GUGGGGAAUCUUGCGCAAUGGGCGAAAGCCUGACGCAGCCAUGCCGCGUGAAUGAUGAAGGUCUUAGGAUUGUAAAAUUCUUUCACCGGGGACGAUAAUGACGGUACCCGGAGAAGAAGCUCCGGCUAACUUCGUGCCAGCAGCCGCGGUAAUACGAAGGGGGCUAGCGUUGCUCGGAAUUACUGGGCGUAAAGGGCGCGUAAGCGGACAGCUUAGUCAGAGGUGAAAGCCCAGGGCUCAACCUUGGAAUUGCCUUUGAUACUGGCUGUCUUGAGUUUGGGAGAGGUGAGUGGAACUCCGAGUGUAGAGGUGAAAUUCGUAGAUAUUCGGAAGAACACCAGUGGCGAAGGCGACUCACUGGCCCAAUACUGACGCUGAGGCGCGAAAGCGUGGGGAGCAAACAGGAUUAGAAACCCGGGUAGUCC